GAUGAACGCUGGCGGCGUGCCUAAUACAUGCAAGUCGAGCGAACAGACGAGGAGCUUGCUCCUCUGACGUUAGCGGCGGACGGGUGAGUAACACGUGGAUAACCUACCUAUAAGACUGGGAUAACUUCGGGAAACCGGAGCUAAUACCGGAUAAUAUAUUGAACCGCAUGGUUCAAUAGUGAAAGACGGUUUUGCUGUCACUUAUAGAUGGAUCCGCGCCGCAUUAGCUAGUUGGUAAGGUAACGGCUUACCAAGGCAACGAUGCGUAGCCGACCUGAGAGGGUGGUCGGCCACACUGGAACGGAGACACGGUCCAGACUCCUACGGGAGGCAGCAGUAGGGAAUCUUCCGCAAUGGGCGAGAGCCUGACGGAGCAACGCCGCGUGAGUGAUGAAGGUCUUCGGAUCGUAAAACUCUGUUAUUAGGGAAGAACAAAUGUGUAAGUAACUAUGCACGUCUUGACGGUACCUAAUCAGAAAGCCACGGCUAACUACGUG
rnacentral:rRNA from 1 species